AGCAGUAAAGACGUGUCGUCUUCACACACAUCUCUCUCUAUAUCAGUGUAAAAGCGUCACAGUCGAGCGCUGCAGCUCUUUCACUCUUCUCUGGUGGAGUGAAUGUACAUGAUGGAAAUAUCUGUGACGUUCCUCCUCACUGGAUGUCUGAUACAAGGAGUUUUCUGUGAUUUUAAUAUCAAUCUGCCGGA